rnacentral:lncRNA from 1 species
CUGGCCACGUUAUUACUGGUUACCUGCACAUUGUCAAUAACACUCCCCUGUGAAAUGUGUUAUCCAAAAGUUCGAAAUAUCGUGAGCCUAAAUCCAUCAAUUGGAAAUACAACUUCAUAUACUGUUGGAUUCAGUCGAGGAUUAUGCCAGGCAAUGGGCUAAGUGCGUAAAAGAAAACGUAGAUUCUCUUUCCGAAUUUCCGAA